rnacentral:rRNA from 1 species
GGAUUGUAGUCUGCAACCCGACUACAUGAAGCUGGAAUCGCUAGUAAUCGCGAAUCAGAAUGUCGCGGUGAAUACGUUCCCGGGUCUUGUACACACCGCCCGUCACACCAUGGGAGUUGGAAAUGCCCGAAGCCGGUGACCGAACCUUAGGGACGGAGCCGUCGAAGGUGGAGCCAAUGACUGGGGUGAAGUCGUAACAAGGUAAC